GAUAUCAACAACGUUGAAUAAAAUUCUGGGUAAAAUAUUGAUGAUGACAAUUUUUAUCUAUAUGUCUUGACCAAUUUACGUGCCAGCAGUCGCGGUAACACGUUGAAGACUAGUGUUAUUCAUCUUUAAUAGGUUUAAAGGGUACCUAGACGGCAGAUAAAGCUUUCUGGGACUAAUAUGCUAGAGUUACUUGUGAGGGGGCCUAAAAGUACUAUUGGUUUAGAGAUAAAAUUCUUCGAGACCUCUUAUCUGGAACAGGUAAAGGCGAAAGCGUCUCCCUAUGUGAUAACUGACGUUGAGGGACGAAGGCUUUGAAUAGCGAAGAGGAUUAGAUACCCUUGUAGUCGAAGCAGAGAAUGAUGAGUGUCAUAAACUAGAUUUAGUUUAUAAAUGAAAGUGUAAGCACUCCACCUUAUGAGUAAAGUGGCAACGCCGGAAUUGAAAUCAUUAGACCGUUUCUGAAACCAGUAGUGAAGUAUGUUGUUUAAUUUGAUAAUCCACAAAAAACCUUACCACAACUUGAAUAGCUACAAGCGUUGCACGGCUGUCUUCAGUUAAUGUCGUGAGAUUUGGUUAGAUCCAUUAAAUUAACGCAAACCCUUGCUUUAUUUUUAUAUAAUGCAUCUCUCCAUCAUAACGGAUUUGAUAAAAGGGACUAAGAC
rnacentral:rRNA from 1 species